GACGAACGCUGGCGGCGUGCCUAACACAUGCAAGUCGAACGGAAAGGCCCUGCUUUUGCUCGGUGGUCGUGUGGCGAACGGGUGAGUAACACGUGAGUAACCUGUACCUGUCUUUGGGGUAACUUCAGGAAACUGGGGCUAAUACAGGAUAGGAGCUCCUGCUGCAUGGUGGGGGUUGGAAAGUUUCGGCGGUUUGGGAUGGACUCGCAGCUUAUCAGCCUGUUGGUGGGGUAGUGGUUUACCAAGGCUUAGACGGGUAGCCCGCAUGGGAGGUUGAGCGGCGCAAAUGGGCCUGAGAUACGGCCCAGACUCGUACGGUAGGCAGCGGGGGAGAAUAGUGCACAAUAGGCGGAAGCCUGAUACAACAACGCCGCGUGCGGGAUGACCGCCUACGGGUUGUAAACCGAUUUCUCCUGAAACGAAGCGUUAGUGACGGUAAUGGGUAAAGAAGCACCGGCUAACUACGUG
rnacentral:rRNA from 1 species